CAGUAGCCGCGGGAAUACAGAGGGUGCGAGCGUUAAUCGGAUUUACUGGGCGUAAAGCGUGUGUAGGCGGCUUCUUAAGUCGGAUGUGAAAUCCCUGAGCUUAACUUAGGAAUUGCAUUCGAUACUGGGAAGCUAGAGUAUGGGAGAGGAUGGUAGAAUUCCAGGUGUAGCGGUGAAAUGCGUAGAGAUCUGGAGGAAUACCGAUGGCGAAGGCAGCCAUCUGGCCUAAUACUGACGCUGAGGUACGAAAGCAUGGGGAGCAAACAGGAUUAGAUACCCCCGUAGUCCCUGUCUCUUAUAA
rnacentral:rRNA from 1 species